rnacentral:rRNA from 1 species
GGCCGCAGAAUUUUAACUGUGCAAAGGUAGCAUAAUCAUUAGUCUUUUAAUUGAAGGCUUGUAUGAAUGGUUGGACGAGAUACUUGCUGUUUCAUUUUAAUUUAUAGAAUUUUAUUUUUUAGUCAAAAAGCUAAAAUAUUAUUGAAAGACGAGAAGACCCUAUAGAUCUUUACAGUUUAUUUUCUUUUAGUUAUUAGGAUUUUCUUUUAUUAAUAGAUUUUUUGCUGUUUUGUUGGGGUGACAUAGAAAUUAGAUUAACUUUCUAUUAUUUUUAUUACAUUGAUUUAUGAUUAUAAUGAUCCUUUAUUUAAGAUUAAUAAAUUAAGUUACCUUAGGGAUAACAGCGUAAUUUUUUCGGAGAGUCCUUAUCGAUGAAAAAGAUUGCGACCUCGAUGUUGGAUUAA